rnacentral:rRNA from 1 species
GGUUGAUCCUGCCAGUAGUCAUAUGCUUGUUUCAAAGAUUAAGCCAUGCAAGUCUAAGUAUAAGUCUUUAUAUGAUGAAACUGCGAAUAGCUCAUUAGAACACUUAUAAAUAACACGGUAAAUAAUUUCUAUAUGGAUAUCCAUGGUAAUUCUGGAGUUAAUACAUGCGUAAAGGUUUGUUUACAAACUGUCAGCCAUGAAAUCUCAUCAACUGGCUUGCCAAUUGAAUGAAUCAUGUGGAUUUGAGAAUCGCGUUUCUGCGAUAGACCGUAUUAGUUUGUGACCUAUCAG